rnacentral:rRNA from 1 species
UACGUAGGGUGCGAGCGUUGUCCGGAAUUACUGGGCGUAAAGAGCUUGUAGGUGGUUUGUCGCGUUGUUCGUGAAAUCUCACGGCUUAACUGUGAGCGUGCGGGCGAUACGGGCAGACUAGAGUACUGCAGGGGGAGACUGGAAUUCCUGGUGUAGCGGUGGAAUGCGCAGAUAUCAGGAGGAACACCGGUGGCGAAGGCGGGUCUCUGGGCAGUAACUGACGUGAGAAGCGAAAGCGUGGGGAGCGAACAGG